rnacentral:rRNA from 1 species
UACGAAGGGUGCAAGCGUUACUCGGAAUUACUGGGCGUAAAGCGUGCGCAGGUGGUUUGUUAAGUCUGCUGUGAAAGCCCCGGGCUCAACCUGGGAAUGGCAGUGGAGACUGGCAAGCUAGAGUGCGGUAGAGGAUAGUGGAAUUCCCGGUGUAGCGGUGAAAUGCGUAGAUAUUGGGAGGAACACCAGUGGCGAAGGCGGCUCACUGGACCGGAACUGACGCUGAGGCGCGAAAGCGUGGGGAGCAAACGGG